AGUGAACGCUGGCGGUAGGCCUAACACAUGCAAGUCGAACGGCAGCACAGUAAGAGCUUGCUCUUACGGGUGGCGAGUGGCUGACGGGUGAGGAAUACAUCGGAAUCUACUUUUUCGUGGGGGAUAACGUAGUGAAACUUACGCUAAUACCGCAUACGACCUACGGGUGAAAGCAGGGGAUCUUCGUACCUUGCGCGAUUGAAUGAGCCGAUGUCGGAUUAUCUAGUUGGCGGGGUAAAGGCCCACCAAGGCGACGAUCCGUAGCUGGUCUGAGAGGAUGAUCAGCCACACUGGAACUGAGACACGGUCCAGACGCCUACGGGAGGCAGCAGUGGGGAAUAUUGGACAAUGGGCGCAAGCCUGAUCCAGCCAUACCGCGUGGGGGAAGAAGGCCUUCGGGUUUUAAAGCCCUUUUGUUGGGAAAGAAAAGCAGCAGGUUAAUACCCCGCUGUUCUGACGGUACCCAAAGAAUAAGCACCGGCUAACUUCGUG
rnacentral:rRNA from 1 species